AGCGAACGCUGGCGGCAGGCUUAACACAUGCAAGUCGAACGCCCCGCAAGGGGAGUGGCAGACGGGUGAGUAACACGUGGGAACGUACCCUUUGGUUCGGAAUAACUUGGGGAAACUCAAGCUAAUACCGGAUAAGCCCUUAUGGGAAAGGUUUACUGCCGAAGGAUCGGCCCGCGUCUGAUUAGCUAGUUGGUGAGGUAAUGGCUCACCAAGGCGACGAUCAGUAGCUGGUCUGAGAGGAUGAUCAGCUACACUGGGACUGAGACACGGCCCAGACUCCUACGGGAGGCAGCAGUGGGGAAUAUUGGACAAUGGGGGCAACCCUGAUCCAGCCAUGCCGCGUGAGUGAUGAAGGCCUUAGGGUUGUAAAGCUCUUUUACCCGGGACGAUAAUGACUGUACCGGGAGAAUAAGCCCCGGCUAACUUCGUGCCAGCCGCCGCAGUAA
rnacentral:rRNA from 1 species